rnacentral:lncRNA from 1 species
CUAUAUUGGUGCGUGGCUUGGCAGAGAGAUACCCUACCACUAUUGCCGUUUUUCGCUUUGUUUCAACAACCAUUUCUCUCUCUAAAUCUUGAAUCAAUAAACUAUUCUACUUCUGGCAGAAACAAAUUCACAGAUUUAAGAUUGUUUCUUCUUCAAUUCUAAAUUAUAGGGUUUUCCUUUGCAGAUUUUGGAGUUCAAUCUUCGGCCAUUGUUCUUCAGUAAUUGUUCUCCCAAUCGGUUCCAAACUACUCAACUAUUCGGGUUUGAUUCGUAGUUGAAUGCUGUGACUUUUAUUGUCGAUUAUUUCUGGCGAAUUUCGUGCAACGAAUUUGGUCCUCUGAUAAUAAGUGUCAAGCUCUUAGGAAUCAUCAUUUCAUCUAUGUUCAUCGCCUCGAAUCAUCAGUUAUGAAGAUUUACAGAUAUCCGAACAAACAAAGCUUCAUCGGUUCUGGUCAUCAUUAAAGUACUCAUCCCCUGCCACUACAACUUGCGGUUCAACAUGAGAUUCAACAAAACAGCAACGGGUCAGUUUCCAAGCAACAGGUAUAUCUAUUUGUUUGGAGAUCUAAAGUACUGGCCUUUUAUUUUUGAAAGCCAUCCAUCUGUUGUUGUCGAUAAGGCCAAGGCAGCUGUAUGAGACUUGUAGUUUUUGCAUUUGGAUUGUGGUUAGUACCUGGGGAUUCUAAAGAACUAGCUGUUGCACUUUCUCAAGCUGAAGAACGGUGAUGCGGUCAAUUGGGUGUGAUCAUGGAAAACGACUUACUAGAUUCUUGUCUUGUGUCCCUACUUGGCUAUGGUAUGGAUUUAAAUUUGUCUGUGGGUAAAUGUGUUACCCGCACCCAUCUUUCACGCUAUCCGGGAGGCUUGGACCACAUCACUGGGUUCGGGUCUUCCAAGGACUCAAGGAGGGUAAGAAGGUGCUUUGUUUGAUAGUUAUGGCCUCACUUUGUUUGAUAGUAAUGGAUGGCUAGAAACAACAGGAAUUCCAACAACAAAAGGGAGCAGUGGUUUGAGUUGGUGGAAGCUGUGAAAGGAAUCUCUUUCCUUUGGUUGUCUCUCUGGUCAAAGAUCAGAAGCAACGAUUGGUCUUUAUGGAGGAUUUUUGAUUAUAUGGUGUAAUGGUGUUGUCUUGAUUUG